GUGCCACCGCCGCGGUAAUACGUAGGCAGCAAGCGUUGUUCGGAAUUAUUGGGCGUAAAGAGCGUGUAGGCGGCCGAAUAAGUCAGAUGUGAAAUCCCUGGGCUUAACCCAGGACGUGCAUUUGAAACUAUUCGGCUGGAGUAGGGGAGAGGAAAGUGGAAUUCCUGGUGUAGAGGUGAAAUUCGUAGAUAUCAGGAGGAACACCGGUGGCGAAGGCGACUUUCUGGCCCGAUACUGACGCUCAGGCGCGAAAGCGUGGGGAUCAAACAGG
rnacentral:rRNA from 1 species